UAGGGAAUCUUCCACAAUGGGCGCAAGCCUGAUGGAGCAACACCGCGUGAGUGAAGAAGGGUUUCGGCUCGUAAAGCUCUGUUGUUAAAGAAGAACACGUAUGAGAGUAACUGUUCAUACGUUGACGGUAUUAACCAGAAAGUCACGGACUAACUACGUGCCAG
rnacentral:rRNA from 1 species